rnacentral:rRNA from 1 species
UACGUAGGGUGCAAGCGUUAAUCGGAAUUACUGGGCGUAAAGCGUGCGCAGGCGGCUUUGCAAGACAGAUGUGAAAUCCCCGGGCUUAACCUGGGAACUGCAUUUGUGACUGCAUGGCUGGAGUACGGCAGAGGGGGAUGGAAUUCCGCGUGUAGCAGUGAAAUGCGUAGAUAUGCGGAGGAACACCGAUGGCGAAGGCAAUCCCCUGGGCCUGUACUGACGCUCAUGCACGAAAGCGUGGGGAGCAAACAGG